rnacentral:rRNA from 1 species
CACGAACUGUGCAAACGUUAUUCGGAAUCACUGGGCUUAAAGAGUUCGUAGGCGGCGCGCUAAGUCGGGUGUGAAAGCCCUCGGCUCAACCGAGGAAUUGCGCCCGAUACUGGCGUGCUUGAGUGAGAUAGAGGUGAGCGGAACUGAUGGUGGAGCGGUGAAAUGCGUUGAUAUCAUCAGGAACACCGGUGGCGAAAGCGGCUCACUGGGUCUCAACUGACGCUGAGGAACGAAAGCUAGGGUAGCGAACGGGAUUAGAUACCCGCGUAGUCC